UCCUGUGUGACCUAUUCUUGCUACAACUGCCCGCUCAGCCAAGAAUGAAAAGUAAUCAAUGCCAAUCACGUAGGCUUGGUUUCAGGAGGAAAACAAAUUGGUAAGUACAACAAUAGCCUGUCACAGAAAAGCCUCAUAAAGACCUGAUCUCCAUCGUAGCAGGAUUUGGCCCGCCGAGGCUGUCCCCUCGCUUCCAGCAGCCACCACUUCCAGAUGCUAUAGGAGAAGGUGUCGAAGCCCCAAUCUGCCUGUAACUGCAUAUGGUGUUUGCCUUGCUGAAAAAUAAUUGACCACAAUAUGAGAGAUGUGUUGAAAGCUGAAGGUUAGCAUGGCUAAAAUGUGUCAAAUCCAAUUACCUGGGACAGAAAAAAAACUUGCUACAGGAAGAAAAGAUGGUGUAAUACAACUAGCAGCUGCUGGGAAAGCCAACUGCCAUCUCAGAGACACUUCAUGAUCAAGUUGUGCACUAUUUUUUUAAUGCUGGGAAUGAUCUGAACUCUGUUGUGUAUGCAGCUCCAACUAUGGAAAUUCUCAAAAUGCCUGACUGCUCCAAGCUGGCAAGAAACGCAUGGAAAAAGAUCACUGUACUUAUGCGCUGAAUAUUUACCACCAGCUCCUGUCUGAUGGCUGAAGGGUGGGAUCUGACCCUGUUCUUAUGGACUAACAACAUGACGGGGGUAACAUAACCAUUUCUGAGAAAGAGCUUUAGUUUAGGAGGCAGCACAGCUCACUCCUGGGAGUAAAGGACUACCUGCAGGGUAGGUACGGGAUGAGGGCACAGCUAGAGAAGACAUCAAUAGGGAAAGCAUACAACAUAACACUUGUGCUUUGUUGGCAAAUAGCUUCACCUAUUUGUCUGGAACCACUGAACUGUGCUCUGACACGCAGUACAACAGCAGAAAAAACGUCGCAUUCAUUGAAUACAGACUGUCCAUUUCUACCUAACUGGUGAUGACUGUUAAAAAAGGAAAGAGGGAAUGUUUCAGGAACUAACCAAGGAAAUGAAGGAAAAAACCUCAAAUAGGAAAACAUACUCCAUGUAAACUUCAGAGGAUUAUAUAAUGCACUAUCUAAGCCAAAUUCAGCCUGGGCUGGUUCACUGCCAUUGAGGACUAGUAUAGCCAAAAUCCAGUGCCUGUAAUCAAAUCAUCCCUCCAUAAAAUUUAUCCCAAAAGCUGCAAAAUACUUUGUGUCAUUCCCUUUGAGUUCCCUUAUCUAUCACUUUAUCAUUCCCCCUGCUCACAGAGGAAUACGGUUCCCCUUCAAACCCAUUAGCCAUGUGGCAACGCUGCCUGGGCAGUGUCUGCACUGAGACAUUUUUGUGUGUAUUGGCUGUUGUGGAGGGACUGUAUUCCUGUUUCUACAGCUAUAUGAACCAUACCCAAAAUCAAAUGCUCCAUCAAAAUCCUAAAUUCACUUCGAACCAUUAGGAAAUCUCUUUCCCGGCCUUGUUAGUGGUGGCCUUGUUUCAACCCAAAAAGCAGAUUUUUGAUUGAAACAAAGACGGCACUUAUGCAACUUCAGCAUUGUGGGAGCAUUCCUCAGCAAUACCAGUGCUCUAUUUCUUUCCUUCUAUUUUGUUUUCAUUUCAAAUACAUCUUUCUCCUUCCUUCCCAUUACACAGAGGAGAAGCUCAUAGACUCUGCAGAGAUGUAGCACGCUGAAAACCACUGCAACCCUCCUGGUUAAAAAAUAACAAUAACAAUGAAAAUACAAUAAAAUUAACAAAAAAACUGGAAUGGAUGUGGCUAACCAGCUGUUGAAACCUGACGUUGUGCUUGACUGAGCCAUUAUAGGAAAAAGACCCCCAGCUACAGAGCAUGCUAAACAGCUCCACAUCCACCCUGCCUUCCUCCAGCAUCUUUGUCUCACGCUCCCAUUUACACAACAUUAGCCUGGGAGCUGUUUGUUUUCACUGGGGUUUUCUUUUGCUUGUGAAGCUCUAGCCCACAGUAUAAAGACUCGGCAGUGUUGUGGUUACUUCCCUUAUGGCCAUCUGUGAACAGAGCAAUACUCUUCUAGCAUGCACACACGCACACCCAUACCGUUACCACGUUCCCAUCCUGCUACAGACCAUGUUCACGUAUCCUGCCUCUAGAUGAUGCCCAUAUAUCACCACUUUCAUGCAGAAAGGAAAGUCUCUGAAUGCAGGAAGGCUGCACUGGGUGUGGACAUGCAUUGUCCAAACCUCCAAAGGGCCUCUGAGGGACUCAUCACCUGGAGGGUGAAAUCCACAAGAUGCAAUGAUGUCCCCAACCAGGUUCAAAAUACAGACACCUUGUCUUGCAAAGUCACAACUCCUCAGCUUUAGUUAAGUUACAAAUAAUUGAAGUGAAAUGAUAGGUGGCUGAAAGCACUCAGAUGUCAGAAAAGGGAAAUGACUUGGUGCCUCAGUUGGAAGACAAGCAAGGCUUUUUUAGAGACAUUUUUUGUGGGUGAGAAGAAAAUCUGGCUCCAUAAACUGCCAUAAAACCUGCACAACACCAUCCUGGCACUGCCCUUUCCUCCAUUUCACUUGGGUUUCAUGAGCUUUUGCACCAUUUCCAUUACCUCUGAGCACCUUCAGUUCUCCUGUGGAGAUCUCAGCAGUGCAAACUUCCUUAGCUUUAACACCUUGUACAAAGACAGCAACCCACUGGCCCUGCCACAGUGAUGAGAUUCGCCUUGAGACUCACAGAAAUUCCUAACACUGUGCAAGUGAACCUCUUAGCAUUCUUCAGUGCCCCAGAGAAGCACAACUCUCUCAAGUCCAUUCACCCACACAAGGGCCUACAGCUCCCACGGGGACUUGUUUUGAGUACUGCCCACACCAUUGUAUACUGACUUAAAGACUGCUGCAAUCUCUCCCUCUUCACCCAAAACACCUUUCAUUAGAGUCCUUCUGCUGGCAAAGGGUCUUGCAAGUCCCUCUGAAUUACAAAAAAGAGAUGUUUCAAUACACAGGUAAGCAAAAGUAAAUCAGAUUUGGAGAGGAAAAUGCAUUCUUCAGCAGUGUAAUAAAACAUACAUUGACUGGGGAUUUCAGUUCUAAGUGGAACAAUUGUGCCUUGGGUUGGAAGUCUUGUGAACACUUACUACAGCCUGUAGGGCAUUGCUUACAUAUCAUAAACCCCAGCUCUUCUUAAUAAACAGUGCGUGCACGCGUAACCGUAUAAAUAAUUGUGCACAUAACUGUAUACAGAAUGUAUGUUUGAUACUUAAACACAGUCUUAGAAGUCCUUAGAACAAUAGGUCGAACCAGAUGGUGGUGCAGUCCCACAGGAGAACAUAAUGCAAUAAAGCGGAACUUCUGGCAGAAGGAGCACAGUUCUAAGAGGAGAAUAAAUCUCUCACAUUUGGGCAUGAUGCCUCAGCAUUAACUUUCCUUUUUUAAGCAAAUAACAUAAGUAAUAUUUAUAUUGUGAGGUAAUCUUCUUGUUUCCUCUCACAA